UAAAGAAAGCGUAAUAGCUCACUGAUCGAGUCGUCCUGCGCGGAAGAUGUAACGGGGCUAAGCCAGUUACCGAAGCUGCGGAUUUGCAAUUUAUUGCAAGUGGUAGGAGAGCGUUCUGUAAGCCUGUGAAGGUGUCUUGUAAAGGAUGCUGGAGGUAUCAGAAGUGCGAAUGCUGACAUGAGUAGCGUUAAAGGGGGUGAAAAGCCCCCUCGCCGUAAGCGCAAGGUUUCCUACGCAACGUUCAUCGGCGUAGGGUGAGUCGGCUCCUAAGGCGAGGCAGAGAUGCGUAGCUGAUGGGAAACAGGUCAAUAUUCCUGUACCGAUUACAAGUGCGAUGUGGGGACGGAUCUUAAUAGGUUAUCCGGCGGUUGGAAGUGCCGGUUUAGACAGAUGUAGGCGACACGUAGGCAAAUCCGCGUGUCAUAUACCGAGGCUGUUGAUCGAGCGAGCUUGCUCGCGAAGUAACUGAACGAGGUCCCAGGAAAAGCCACUAAGCUUCAGCUUGUAAUUGACCGUACCGCAAACCGACACUGGUGCGCGAGAUGAGUAUUCUAAGGCGCUUGAGAGAACUCAGGAGAAGGAACUCGGCAAAUUGACACCGUAACUUCGGAAGAAGGUGUGCCCUAGUAGUGUGAUGAGAACAUCUGAGCACGAAAGGGUUGCAAAAAAUAGGUGGCUGCGACUGUUUAUUAAAAACACAGCACUCUGCAAACACGAAAGUGGACGUAUAGGGUGUGACGCCUGCCCGGUGCUGGAAGAUUAAUUGAUGGGGUGCAAGCUCUUGAUCGAAGUCCCAGUAAACGGCGGCCGUAACAAUAACGGUCCUAAGGUAGCGAAAUUCCUUGUCGGGUAAGUUCCGACCUGCACGAAUGGCGUAACGAUGGCCACACUGUCUCCUCCUGAGACUCAGCGAAGUUGAAAUGUUUGUGAUGAUGCAAUCUCCCCGCGGAAAGACGGAAAGACCCCAUGAACCUUUACUGUAGCUUUGUAUUGAAUUUUGAACAGAUCUGUGUAGGAUAGGUGGGAGGCUUUGAAGCAGGGUCGCUAGAUCUUGUGGAGCCAACGUUGAAAUACCACCCUGGUGUGUUUGAGGUUCUAACCUAGGUCCAUUAUCUGGAUCGGGGACAGUGCAUGGUAGGCAGUUUGACUGGGGCGGUCUCCUCCCAAAGUGUAACGGAGGAGUUCGAAGGUACGCUAGGUACGGUCGGACAUCGUGCUAAUAGUGCAAUGGCAUAAGCGUGCUUAACUGCGAGACUGACAAGUCGAGCAGAUGCGAAAGCAGGACAUAGUGAUCCGGUGGUUCUGUAUGGAAGGGCCAUCGCUCAACGGAUAAAAGGUACUCUGGGGAUAACAGGCUGAUACCGCCCAAGAGUUCAUAUCGACGGCGGUGUUUGGCACCUCGAUGUCGGCUCAUCUCAUCCUGGGGCUGUAGCCGGUCCCAAGGGUAUGGCUGUUCGCCAUUUAAAGAGGUACGUGAGCUGGGUUUAAAACGUCGUGAGACAGUUUGGUCCCUAUCUUCCGUGGGCGCUGCAGAUUUGAGGAAGCCUGCUCCUAGUACGAGAGGACCGGAGUGGACGCACCUCUGGUGUACCGGUUGUCACGCCAGUGGCAUUGCCGGGUAGCUAAGUGCGGAAGAGAUAACCGCUGAAAGCAUCUAAGCGGGAAACUCGUUCCAAGAUGAGAUCUGCCGGGGCCUUGAGCCCCCGUACUCUGCGUUGAU
rnacentral:rRNA from 1 species